ensembl:lncRNA
UUAAGGCACAUCAGAGAACAAAUGGGCUGCCUGUCCUUCUGAAGGCUGGGGGCUGUGCAGAUAUUUGUGGGCACUGCUUUGGGUUACAUGGUUUGCUUUUCAGACUUGAAAAGGGAACAAAGAGUUACUCCUUCUUGAGCAAGGAACACCAUGGACAUGUCAGAGAAAAAUUCGCUGAAUUGCUAUUAAUAAAAAAAGAAAUUACCAGUCCAGUGAGAUCAGACAUCUAGUUGUAGGUGUGACAGAAGAUAUCAUAGAAUCAUAGAAUGGUUUAGUUGGAAGGGACCUUUAAGAUCAUCUGAUUCCAACCCCCUGCUAUACGCAGGGACACCUCACUGUAGACCAGGUUGCUCACAGCCACGUCCAGACUGGCCUUGAAUACCUCUGGGGUGGGUGCAUUCACAACCUCACUGGGCAACCUGUUCCAGUUCACAGUCAAUUCCAAUAGAACACUACGUUGCAGCACCACCAGGGACUUCUAUGAAUACCUAUAUCUCUACACACAGAUAACUGCAUUUUUUUGGAUGAAAAUUCCCUGUGUGGUUUCAACCCUAAAAGAUCUCUUUUUCCCCCAGAAGUGUCAAGCAGUCAGAAAUCCCACAGAAGUUCACAGGAGCUGCAGGUGCUGAAUGCUUUUUCAAUCAAGCUCUUCCAUUUCUGUGUUCACUUGCAUAACCAAAAUGACACCAUUACAAGCUGAAACUUUCUGCGUAACCAGUCUCUAAGGAGAGUCAGGCUGAAGUCUGGUUUUCUGACUGAAUAAGUGAAAUGAUUGUGGUGUUACACAGUGAGUUUUACUCUCAGAUACCCACAGGUGCUGUGCUGCUGGCAGCCAAACCCCAUACCCUGUGCUGAAGCUGUGCAUGUACUCUUCUCUACUGAGUACUCAUAGCUGCAGUUUUCCAAAUGAGGAAUCUACCCCGUUGGGUACUUUGGACAUUGCCUUUUCAAACCUGCAGCUGGCAAUGCAGGAAAAAAUAAAAGCAGGACUUU